rnacentral:rRNA from 1 species
CCUACGGGUGGCAGCAGUGAGGAAUAUUGGUCAAUGGCCGAAAGGCUGAACCAGCCAAGUCGCGUGAAGGAAGACUGUCCUACGGGUUGUAAACCGCUUUUGUCCGGGAGUAACGUCACCCACGUGUAGGGCUUGGAGAGUACCGGAAGAAAAAGCACCGGCUAACUCCGUGCCAGCAGCCGCGGUAAUACGGAGGAUGCGGGCGUUAUCCGGAUUUAUUGGGUUUAAAGGGGGCGUAGGCGGAUUAUCAAGCGUGCGGUAAAAUGGUGGAGCUCAACUCCGGCCAGCCGUUGAAACUGAGGAUCUUGAGUGCGCGAGAAGCAUGCGGAAUGCGUGGUGUAGCGGUGAAAUGCAUAGAUAUCACGAAGAACUCCGAUUGCGAAGGCAGCUUGCUGGCGCCCGACUGACGCUGAUGCUCGAAAGCGCGGGUAUCGAACAGGAUUAGAUACCCUAGUAGUC